CCUACGGGAGGCAGCAGUGGGGAAUAUUGGGCAAUGGGCGAAAGCCUGACCCAGCAACGCCGCGUGAAGGAAGAAGGCUUUCGGGUUGUAAACUUCUUUUGACAGGGAAGAGCAGAAGACGGUACCUGUCGAAUAAGCCACGGCUAACUACGUGCCAGCAGCCGCGGUAAUACGUAGGUGGCAAGCGUUAUCCGGAUUUACUGGGGGUAAAGGGCGUGUAGCCGGGCUGACAAGUCAGAUGUGAAAUCCGGGGGCUCAACCCCCGAACUGCAUUUGAAAAUGUUGGUCUUGAGUAUCGGAGAGGCAGGCGGAAUUCCUAGUGUAGCGGUGAAAUGCGUAGAUAUUAGGAGGAACACCAGUGGCGAAGGCGGCCUGCUGGACGACAACUGGCGGUGAGGCGCGAAAGCGUGGGGAGCAAACAGGAUUAGAUACCCCGGUAGUC
rnacentral:rRNA from 1 species